GCGCGCCCUUUAUGACAGGUGGCCGCGCAGUGGGCGCUCCCGGGCGCCUGAGGAGCGGGGAGGAAGGGACAGAGUGGGAGGGGGCACCUGGGGAAGGGACCUUAGGCGCGGCAGCGGCUGUGAGACCUGAGGGAGCCGGGGAGACAGGCGCAUCCACCUGGCGGGCCCAGCGCACACAGCCGAGGCACAGAAGACAGCGUCGGCGGCAGCAGUAGCACAGCAGCAGCGGCAGCUAGAACAGCUGCGACGACAGCGGCAGCCCAUCCUCGACUGCGGNNNNNNNNNNNNNNNNNNNNNNNNNNNNNNNNNNNNNNNNNNNNNNNNNNNNNNNNNNNNNNNNNNNNNNNNNNNNNNNNNNNNNNNNNNNNNNNNNNNNNNNNNNNNNNNNNNNNNNNNNNNNNNNNNNNNNNNNNNNGUAUACGCGUUGCCACCCAGCUCCCGGGCCUUCUCGCCCGCUCCCCUCCUGGCUGGGGUGGCGGCGGCAAAGGGUGAAACGAAUUAGGGGAAGGUGAGAGGGGCGGAGGAAGGGAAAGCGGAAGGGAGGACGUCUGUGUACGAAUGGCGUGCAUGUGUGUGUCCGUGUACGAAGGAUCGAGGCCUUCAGGGUGAGGGAUUCCAGCUCGCCAAGACCAGCCCUGCAAUCUAGGAAAGGCCUCUGUGCUAGAGCGGGAGGAGGGGGAGGGGAAGCGAGCGGGCCGGAGCCCAGGCGCUCGGAAGCAGCACGGCCGGGCAACUGGAGCCAGCCGGGCGCUGCCUCCUUUUGGGUUGUUGCCCAGGAGAUCCUCAUCCAUCAGGGAGUCCGGCACUGCGCUUCAGUGAGAGUGGGAAAACCCACACGGCGGCCUCGGCGGGCGCCUGGGCCGGAGCAGUAAAGGUGCGAAGCCGCGUUACCAGCGCCUCCCUCGCCCGCGGCUCCCCUGCUCUCCGGGGGCCUAGACCACCGCAGAGUGUCCCUAAGGCGCGCACCGACGAGUGUAAGUUUAGUCCCUGACCAAACCUUGCCACGCUCAUCACCUUUGCGGAAAUUGGCUCACUGCCCUGACUGCUGUGGAAAGCGGUCAAACUGACGCUUUGCUGCGAGGCUUCUGACGCUUCUCGCUGCGGCGCCUCUAGGUACCAGUCCUUUGGGUCUUAUACAUCGUGUGGGUCAGGGGAGGCUGGCAAGCGUGGGGGGUACGGCUGCUCCGGGAAAGUGGGGAAACCCCAAAGCUGAGUUGGCGCCCUUCAGCAGAGGAAUCCAGCGGUUUCAGCCUGACUGCUUCUGUCUGUGUGAUUCGUGAGGGACCGAAUCACCCGCGCAAGGUUUUCUGUCUUCCCGAAGUUAAAAAAAAAAUUGUCUCCCCAUUUCUCCGCCAGCACUCUUGAUUUUUGUCGAGUUUCUGGCUGCAUUUUGGAAUAAGUGGGUUUCAUAUUUUCCGUCUGUGUGUGUUUUUUUUUCCGCAGCAUAUUGUUGAAUUUUGUGCACGGCGCACUUUGCUAUGUAACAUUUUCCUAACGUUCUAUUUUCUAGAUGGUUAUCUAAAAGACAUGAUUUGGCGGGAGGGGGGCUGGAAGAGCUGCUUUACAAAAGCAUCUGAAGGACUUUAGCCCUGGAAUUUGAAAGUCUCAGUUGUUUUAGGUGGAGGAACCUUGUGCUGCUAGUCCGUAGAAUAUUUUGCUUGCUGAGAAAGGGUAUUCCAGUGGUCUUCUCUGAACUACUAGAGACCAUUUGGAUUUGGGGGAGUGAAUCUCUUUUACAUUUUUUACACAUAGGGUAACAAAUGACCAGACGUUUUAUUUACAGCAGUGACGUUCUUCUGGCUGAGGAGAAUUUACACUUAUUGAAAAUAUAUUUUCAGAAGGAAACAAAAAACCCUAAGUAACUGUCAUUUUACAUAUUAACUGGGAAACUGGUUAAUCAAACAAAACUGGCUGAGUGUCUGAAACUGUAUCCCAGUGAAAUAUGUGGCUGUGAAUAUAAUUAACCAUCUGUCUAGUGAGCAAUUUAAAUUUGGGCUGGUACAUUUUUAUUACAGUGUCUAAUUUCUGGAAGACUUGUACAUUUUACACAGCAGUAACAACAGAAACGUAUUUGCUUCUAGGUCAACAAUUCACUUGUGGUGCGAUUUCCUUCCCACCCACACCUUUAUAUUUUUCAUAGCGCCUGCAUUCCUUGACCUCGAGGUCAAAAUGAGCCUCUUGUUUUUGCACAUGACACAUUUAGAAAGAACCCAAACCAUCCCUGGCAGCUAGUGAUUGGAUUUUUGUUUCUUAGAAAUACUUCCUAAUUAUUUUACUUCCCACAAAACCUAGAUAGAUUGCAUGUCGUUGAGUUGAAAAGAUAUAAUCUUUGGUUGCUUGAGUGUUUAGAUAGGGUAGAAUAAUUUAACAAAAUUUAUAAGACUCAAAAGUUGAUUCCAUUUACUUUCUUAUUCUAGUUAUUUUGCUAGCUUUGCCCUAGCUGUUCUAACUGUCCCAGACUCUGCAGAGAUAUACACUCAAAAAAAUCAUAUCCUUUUGUUCUUUUAGUCUGUUAACAGCAUUCAGUUCUGUGAUUUUAACAAUAUGUCAUGAAACUUUUUUAAAAAAUCAGAGAUGCAAAAUAUCAUAGCAGAAAAAGACAUUGUGGAUAUUUAAAAAUGUUCUAUGUGGUAUAAUUUUUAACUUGAAAGCUAUUACUAGCUUGGUCGAUACAGUUUGGGGAGAAGACUUCCACCAAAUAGCUAUUGUUAACAUAGUUAAAAUGAACCAAGAUUUAUGUGCAGUAGGCUUGAGAAAAUAAUUUAAAAGAAAAUACUCUUAAAACAAAUAUUUGCCUAAAUUACAGCUCUGAUAAAUGGGUAACAAUUAUGUAAACACAUGGAAGAAUUUGACAUUUGUUAAUUCUGUUAAAUAAAUUAAUCUGUUCAGUGGUAAAAAUCUUGAAUUUAGCAGUGCUUUUUAGCACGCGCUCUCUCUCACACACACACACACAUCAGUAACACCCUGUUGCCAAAGUCAAACAAGUGCAGAACCUUUCGGCUUUCUGUUUCCCUCAGAGUCUCUCUUUCUUUUUCUUUUUUCUACAAUCUUCUGAUUACCUGUAAGCUACUCAGAGAAAACAGACCUAACGCGGUGCUGUUAUUGCCUGUGAUUAAAGGGUAGGAGAAGAGAGAUGAGGAAAAUUGGUAAGUGCUGUAUUUAAAAUAUCUAAAAAUGUGCUCAUGGAUCCCUGACGCAAGUCACUGUGGAGAUCUUGGUCUCACCGAAG
ensembl:lincRNA